rnacentral:rRNA from 1 species
GACCCCAGGGUAGGCGGGACUACUCGCUGUGUUUAU